CUAAAUACUCCUGACUGACCGAUAGUGAACCAGUACCGUGAGGGAAAGGCGAAAAGAACCCCGGCGAGGGGAGUGAAAAAGAACCUGAAACCGUGUACGUACAAGCAGUGGGAGCACCCUUCGGGGUGUGACUGCGUACCUUUUGUAUAAUGGGUCAGCGACUUAUAUUCUGUAGCAAGGUUAACCGUAUAGGGGAGCCGGAGGGAAACCGAGUCUUAAUUGGGCGUUAAGUUGCAGGGUAUAGACCCGAAACCCGGUGAUCUAGCCAUGGGCAGGUUGAAGGUUGGGUAACACUAACUGGAGGACCGAACCGACUAAUGUUGAAAAAUUAGCGGAUGACCUGUGGCUGGGGGUGAAAGGCCAAUCAAACCGGGAGAUAGCUGGUUCUCCCCGAAAGCUAUUUAGGUAGCGCCUCGUGAAUUCAUCUCCGGGGGUAGAGCACUGUUUCGGCUAGGGGGCCAUCCCGGCUUACCAACCCGAUGCAAACUGCGAAUACCGGAGAAUGUUAUCACGGGAGACACACGGCGGGUGCUAACGUCCGUCGUGAAGAGGGAAACAACCCAGACCGCCAGCUAAGGUCCCAAAGUCAUGGUUAAGUGGGAAACGAUGUGGGAAGGCCCAGACAGCCAGGAUGUUGGCUUAGAAGCAGCCAUCAUUUAAAGAAAGCGUAAUAGCUCACUGGUCGAGUCGGCCUGCGCGGAAGAUGUAACGGGGCUAAACCAU
rnacentral:rRNA from 1 species